AACCACUGAUGAAAUCUGAUUCUGCCAAAUGAAUUGCAGUGAUUAAAUCUUUCCGUUCCACUUACUCUGAGGUU
rnacentral:snoRNA from 1 species